UAAUACGGGGGGAACGAGCGUUGUUCGGAUUUACUGGGCGUAAAGGGCACGCAGGCGGGGAAUCAAGUCAGAUGUGAAAACCCAUAGCUUAACUCUGGGCCUGCAUUUGAUACUGUUUCUCUUGAGUACGGGAGAGGAUGGCGGAAUUCUUGGUGUAGCGGUGAAAUGCGUAGAUAUCAAGAAGAACACCGGUGGCGAAGGCGGCCAUCUGGCCCGAUACUGACGCUCAUGUGCGAAGGCAAGGGGAGCAAACAGGAUUAGAUACCCUGGUAGUCCUUGCAGUAAACGAUGGAUACUAGGUGUUGGAGGUAUCGACUCCUCCAGUGCCGCAGCUAACGCAUUAAGUAUCCCGCCUGGGGAGUACGCUCGCAAGAGUGAAACUUAAAUGAAUUGACGG
rnacentral:rRNA from 1 species